AUUCCAAUCGAACCCGGAGAUAGCUGGUUCUCCCCGAAAUAGCUUUAGGGCUAGCCUGAGGUAGUAAGUAUAGGCGGUAGAGCACUGAUCGGGCUAGGGGCCGUAAAGGUUACCGAACCCUGUCAAACUCCGAAUGGAUAUACUGUAGAGCCUUGGAGUCAGACUACGAGUGAUAAGAUCCGUGGUCAAAAGGGAAACAGCCCAGACCACCAGCUAAGGUCCCCAAUGUCGUACUAAGUGGAAAAGGAUGUGGGGUUUCAUAAACAACCAGGAUGUUGGCUCAGAAGCAGCCACCAUUUAAAGAGUGCGUAAUAGCUCACUGGUCGAGAGACCCUGCGCCGAAGAUUCCCGGGGCUAAAGUACGAAACCGAAGCUGUGGCUGUAUACGUAAAGUAUACGGGGUAGGGGAGCGUUCCCAUAGGGUAGAAGUCGAACUGGAAGGUUCGGUGGACUUGUGGGAAGUGAGAAUGUUGGUAUGAGUAGCGAAAAGAAAGGUGAGAAUCCUUUCCACCGAAAGCAUAAGGAUUCCUGAGCAACGAUCGUCGUCUCAGGGUAAGUCGGGACCUAAUCCGAGGCAGAGAGCGUAGGAGAUGGACAACUGGUUGAUAUUCCAGUACCGGUAGUAAUUGUUUGAGCAAUGGAGUGACACAGAAGGGCAGGCAAGCAUGCGAAUGGAAGAGCAUGUGUAAGCGUGUAGGGUGGUGCAUAGGCAAAUCCGUGCACUGAAAGCCUGAGGCGUGAUGCGGAGUGAGCAGAGAUGCGAGCGAAGUUGUUGACCCCACACUGUCGAGAAAAGCUUCUAGUGAGAGAGCUACCGCCCGUACCGUAAACCGACACAGGUAUGCGGGGAGAGAAUCCUAAGGUGCGCGGGAGAACCCUCGUUAAGGAACUCGGCAAAAUGUACCCGUAACUUCGGGAUAAGGGUAGCCACUGUUGUGAAGUCCCAUGCGGAUGGAGCAUAGAGUGGUCGCAGAGAAGAGGCCCAAGCGACUGUUUACCAUAAACACAGGUGCCUGCUAAAGCGAAAGCUGACGUAUAGGUGCUGACACCUGCCCAGUGCCGGAAGGUUAAGGAAGGAUGUUCGGAUUAGUCCAAAGCAUUCGACUGAAGCCCCGGUGAACGGCGGCCGUAACUAUAACGGUCCUAAGGUAGCGAAAUUCCUUGUCGGGUAAG
rnacentral:rRNA from 1 species